CUGCUCAUUGCACAGGCCUCCUCCCACACAACUCAAACAAGCAAUUGAUUGUUCUAUUCCAGCAAGUAUGAUGAUGGGUGGGAGAUCAAUUGUUAAUAGUAGAAAGAUUGCUUGGAUUUCUCUCAAGUGUAACAGACAAAAUGGGUCAUAUGAGUGCGGAUACUAUGUAAUGUAUUGGAUGACCCAUAUUGUUCGUUCUCACAUCACAAGUCGCUGGGAAACGGUAAUAUUUAACUUUAACAAAUUUUGA